AGUUUGAGGUAGACUGAAGUUUAGUGUUGAGAUAUCUUUCCAUGGGCAGCACGGUGGUGCAAUGAGUAGCGCUGUUGCUUUUCCUGUGUCCACGUGGGUUUCCUCUGGGUACUCCGGUUUCCUCCCAGAAGUCCAAAGACAUGCAGGAGAGGACAGGGUGGAGGCUUCGGAGCCGACAGUGUCGGAGAGAAAGCAUAGCCGCACGUCGGAGAGGAGGUGACGAGGAGGAGACAGCGGUGCGUUUAAUGAGGAGGAAGAGGCGAGCACGGUGAAGGCUUGCUGGUCUCCACAAAAUGGCAGGUGGCUGGGAUAGGAUGAUAAAUGGAGGGUCCUGGUGGCUUGUCAUGCUGCCAGGGGAGAGGUACAUCUGGCCGUGGAUAUUUUGCGUUUCUUACGCCUUAAAAGGUUUAAUACCUGCAUUAUUAUCUGUGUCCUUCCCUUUUAUUCUAAUGAUACUUAUACCCUGCAGGGGACUAUGGAAAUAUACCUUAGGUUAAAAUAUAAUGUAUUUAUCAUAAAUAGACAUCACACAGACCCCUGCCCUCUACAGUACUCCCAUGACUUUGCCAGAGGAACAUGAAUACAUGCUUAAACCAGUUUUUUAUUUUAAUUUUAGAAUCUAUAAGGGUUACAAUAGACAUUAAAUGUGUGAAUAAGAUUUUUUCGAGGACAAGGUGUUCUGUUGACUGGAUUUAAGCUGAAUCUUUCCCACUGUGUUCUACAUCAAGCCAUUUGGAGUUUACUGAGCCCAAAGCAUCAGUCACAAUUGCGUUCCAUGUUGUGGUUACUUUAAAAAUAAAUAAAUUUAAUCUGAAGAAAACU